GUAUUGUUAGCCGAACGCUCUGGAAAGUGCGGCCAUAGCAGGUGAUAGCCCUGUAGGCGAAAACAGUAUGAAAGAACUAGGUGUACGACAAGUAGGGCGGGACACGUGAAAUCCUGUCUGAAGAUGGGGGGACCAUCCUCCAAGGCUAAAUACUCGUGAUCGACCGAUAGUGAACCAGUACCGUGAGGGAAAGGCGAAAAGAACCCCGGGAGGGGAGUGAAAUAGAUCCUGAAACCGCAUGCAUACAAACAGUCGGAGCCUCGUAAGGGGUGACGGCGUACCUUUUGUAUAAUGGGUCAGCGACUUACGUUCAGUAGCAAGCUUAACCGUAUAGGGCAGGCGUAGCGAAAGCGAGUCCGAAUAGGGCGUUCAGUUGCUGGGCGUAGACCCGAAACCAGGUGAUCUAUCCAUGGCCAGGAUGAAGGUGCGGUAACACGUACUGGAGGUCCGAACCCACUAACGUUGAAAAGUUAGGGGAUGAGCUGUGGAUAGGGGUGAAAGGCUAAACAAACCUGGAAAUAGCUGGUUCUCUCCGAAAACUAUUUAGGUAGUGCCUCGUGUCUCACCUUCGGGGGUAGAGCACUGUCAUGGUUGGGGGGUCUAUUGCAGAUUACCCCGCCAUAGCAAACUCCGAAUACCGAAGAGUGCAAUCACGGGAGACAGACAUCGGGUGCUAACGUCCGGUGUCAAGAGGGAAACAACCCAGACCGCCAGCUAAGGUCCCCAAAUAUGGCUAAGUGGGAAACGAAGUGGGAAGGCUAAAACAGUCAGGAGGUUGGCUUAGAAGCAGCCACCCUUUAAAGAAAGCGUAAUAGCUCACUGAUCGAGUCGUCCUGCGCGGAAGAUGUAACGGGGCUAAGCCAUAUACCGAAGCUGCGGAUGCGUGCUUGCACGCAUGGUAGGAGAGCGUUCCGUAAGCCUGCGAAGGUGCCUUGUAAAGGGUGCUGGAGGUAUCGGAAGUGCGAAUGCUGACAUGAGUAGCGAUAAAGGGGGUGAAAGGCCCCCUCGCCGUAAGCCCAAGGUUUCCUACGCAACGUUCAUCGGCGUAGGGUGAGUCGGCCCCUAAGGCGAGGCAGAAAUGCGUAGCUGAUGGGAAGCAGGUCAAUAUUCCUGCACCGUCGUUAGAUGCGAUGGGGGGACGGAUCGCGGAAGGUUGUCCGGGUGUUGGACGUCCCGGUCGCUGCAUUGGAGAAGGCGCUUAGGCAAAUCCGGGCGCGGAAUUCAAGGGUGUGGCGCGAGCGACUUCGGUCGCGAAGCAAUUGGAAGUGGUUCCAAGAAAAGCCUCUAAGCUUCAGUCUAACGAUGACCGUACCGCAAACCGACACAGGUGGGCGAGAUGAGUAUUCUAAGGCGCUUGAGAGAACUCGGGAGAAGGAACUCGGCAAAUUGGUACCGUAACUUCGGGAUAAGGUACGCCCUUGUAGCUUGACCAGCCUGCGCUGGAAGGGUGAAGGGGUUGCAAUAAACUGGUGGCUGCGACUGUUUAAUAAAAACACAGCACUCUGCAAACACGAAAGUGGACGUAUAGGGUGUGACGCCUGCCCGGUGCCGGAAGAUUAAAUGAUGGGGUGCAAGCUCUUGAUUGAAGUCCCGGUAAACGGCGGCCGUAACUAUAACGGUCCUAAGGUAGCGAAAUUCCUUGUCGGGUAAGUUCCGACCUGCACGAAUGGCGUAACGAUGGCCACACUGUCUCCUCCCGAGACUCAGCGAAGUUGAAGUGUUUGUGAUGAUGCAAUCUACCCGCGGCUAGACGGAAAGACCCCAUGAACCUUUACUGUAGCUUUGCAUUGGACUUUGAACCGAUCUGUGUAGGAUAGGUGGGAGGCUAUGAAACCGGAACGCUAGUUUCGGUGGAGCCGUCCUUGAAAUACCACCCUGGUUUGUUUGAGGUUCUAACCUUGGUCCGUGAUCCGGAUCGGGGACAGUGCAUGGUAGGCAGUUUGACUGGGGCGGUCUCCUCCCAAAGGGUAACGGAGGAGUACGAAGGUACGCUAGGUACGGUCGGAAAUCGUGCUGAUAGUGCAAUGGCAUAAGCGUGCUUAACUGCGAGACCGACAAGUCGAGCAGGUGCGAAAGCAGGUCAUAGUGAUCCGGUGGUUCUGUAUGGAAGGGCCAUCGCUCAACGGAUAAAAGGUACUCUGGGGAUAACAGGCUGAUACCGCCCAAGAGUUCAUAUCGACGGCGGUGUUUGGCACCUCGAUGUCGGCUCAUCUCAUCCUGGGGCUGUAGCCGGUCCCAAGGGUAUGGCUGUUCGCCAUUUAAAGAGGUACGUGAGCUGGGUUUAAAACGUCGUGAGACAGUUUGGUCCCUAUCUGCCGUGGGCGUUGGAUAUUUGAAGGGGGCUGCUCCUAGUACGAGAGGACCGGAGUGGACGAACCUCUGGUGUACCGGUUGUGACGCCAGUCGCAUCGCCGGGUAGCUAUGUUCGGAAGAGAUAACCGCUGAAAGCAUCUAAGCGGGAAACUCGCCUUAAGAUGAGAUAUCCCUGGAGGCUUGACCUCCUUGAAGGGUCGUUCGAGACCAGGACGUCGAUAGGUCGGGUGUGUAAGCGCAGUAAUGCGUUCAGCUAACCGAUACUAAUUGCCCGUAAGGCUUGAUCCU
rnacentral:rRNA from 1 species